ACGGUGGGGUAUCGGCUCACCGUGGCGAUGAUGGGUAGCCGGCCUGAGAGGGUGGACGGCCACAUUGGAAGUGAGACACGGUCCAGACUCCUACGGGAGGCAGCAGCUAAGAAUCUUCCGCAAUGGGCGAAAUCCUGACGGAGCGACGCCGCGUGAACGAAGAAGGCCGUGAGGUUGUAAAGUUCUUUUCGGGAGGGGGAACGAGGUUGCCAGGCAAUGGGCGGCCGAUGACGUGAAUCCCGGAAUAAGCCCCGGCUAACUACGUGCCAGCAGCCGCGGUAACACGUAGGGGGCGAGCGUUGUUCGGAAUCAUUGGGCGUAAAGGGCGUGCAGGCGGCCGCCAAAGUCCGGCUUGAAAGACCCAGGCUCAACCUGGGGGGUGCGCCGGAUACUGGGCGGCUUGAGUACAGGAGGGGACGGCGGAAUUCCAGGUGUAGGGGUGAAAUCUGUAGAUAUCUGGAGGAACACCGAUGGCGAAGGCAGCCGUCUGGCCAUGUACUGACGCUGAGGCGCGAAGGUGCGGGGAGCAAACAGGUUUAGAUACCCUGGUAGUCCGCACAGUAAACGAUGUGCACCAGGCGGCGGGGGCAACCUCGCUGCC
rnacentral:rRNA from 1 species